CCCGAUCAUCCAUCACCAGCCAUUGUCGGCCUCCGCAGCCUCAGAAGCAGCAACACGUGCUAUUUUGUCUUCCCCUCGGCGUUGAUAUCGCCGCUCUGGGGAAUCCACAGAAUCAGCAGCCGCCUCCGCGGCCACGUGGUCCUCACCUCUCGUUUCUUUUGCGAGCGUGACCAAACUCCAAAAGGUCCGCUGCUCCAGAAGCCCACGCUUUUGCACAACCGUCGCUCACGUCGUCAUAUCGAUGCGGUGCUUCCUCUCAGAAUUAAGGCCACGCAAUGGAACAGCAGCCAGGGGGCCGUGAGGUGAAAUCAACAUGUCUCUGGAUGAGCAAUAUCGGGAAACGAUUGGCAGAGCUUCGCGUCCCGGCAACAGGACGUCGCACAUGUUGGGAUGCGGCCUGGCAGGAGAUUCUCCAUUGCUGCUGCUAUUCUAGAUGAAUUGGACGCGCUGCAGGCCUACUCCCUCCCCCCCCCCUCCCCCCCUCAUAGAAACGACCCGCACAGCCUCAUUUCACUGUAAUCCCUCCUGUCUGCACUGGGAGCUGCGAGGUUUUGGCUCUGUAAACUUUUCUCAUUUCCAACUUUUUCUGCAGGUAUAUCAGCUGUCAGAAUUCUUCGAGGCGUAGUUGGAAAGGUGGCGCGGGAGGAGCAGGUACGGCACCCAGCAGACUGCCAUGUUUUUUCGCAGGAAGGAGGAAAAUCGCUGAGUCUCACAACUGUUUCAAUCCCUAUAAAGUCCAAACAUCUGAUGCGAUUUAGGACGCUGACAGAGAAUCGCCAAGGGAGCGCCGACAAAGUGUUGGGACCCUUUUUUGUCGGAGGCGUCCUGCACCGAAGGCCCCUGCGGACGUACGCGAUCACCUUUCCCCCACUCUGUUUGUUUAUGUCUUAUUAAUGUUUGCAGAUGGCACAACGGCCAAAUGACUCUGCAGCCGGUGAUUUACCGCGUGUAAAUAUGGCAGGAGGGCGACUCUCUGCCAACGCCCUCAUCCAUCAAACCCUUUGCGACCGGGAUGCGAUAAUGGGGAAAAUGUGGCAAUAAUUUAGGGCUUUUUUUUGGCAUUUUUCCUCUUUAUUUGGUUACUCCGUCCGGUCUUUUUGAGCAAAUAAACGUGUUCCAUCCAGUCCACUUAUUACUGUAACUGCAAAAUUCCGCCCUGGUAAAGCCUGAGUGUAACAAGCAUAACAUUUUC
ensembl:lncRNA